UCCCUGAUGGUCCAGUGGUUAAGGUUCCGCACUCCCAAUGCAGGGGCCACUGGUUUGAUCCCUGGUCAGGGAA
rnacentral:tRNA from 1 species